AAGAAGCCUAGGAAACUUAGAGCAUUGCAAGAAAGAGAGGAAUCUAGACUGCCAAACAGCCUGUCCUCUUAGCUGUGCUUGUCAAAAGGUUUUUACCUCAGAAUCCCAGGGUAUAUCUUGGUUAUAAACAACUAGUAUAUGUCUAAGUUAACAGCUUAGUAACCUGAGUACAGUUAUGUAGCAGAAGUUUUAAUCAUUUUCCACAUUUUCUUUUUUUGUCGUCUUAAGGAUUUCUGGACUGGGUGAAUCUUAUCUGCAUUUGGCAAUCAUGAUUCUGAGACUGUGAGUGGCUAACGUCAAGGAAGCAGCCUCCUUUACAGAACAACCCUUCUGUUUAUUUCUGUCAAAGCAUGUGAUUUAUCAAAAAUGAAAUAGAACCACAAUAAUAUAAUUAUAAUUUUUAAGAAGAUUAAAGAACAACCCUUUUUAAAGGAAUAACUUAAUUCACUACUUUGACUACAUAGAAAUUUAAUGCAUGACUUUCUUGAAACGCUCUUCUCUCAUAACACCCCUGGCCCAUUUUCUCCUGUUUUGACACCAUGUGAGGGUUAUAUACACUGCAUAGCUCUCAACACUCUGAUUUGUGUCCUGGUCUUAAUUUACAAAAGGUGACUGCGUGACAAUUCUGAGAGGCCAAUGCCAAUGAGAGAAAAGUUUACUGCUACUCAUGAUGGCGCCCCUGGAAGCAGAAGACACAGCACGCUAUAGAGGGCCAUGUGGGAAAGCACUGGAGUAGCUCCAGGCCGGGCUUGCCAGUCUCUCUGCACUCUGGAAGGAGUUUGCCUGGGUUGGGGUUGUCCCUUGGUAG
rnacentral:lncRNA from 1 species